AAAAAUGAAAUCAAUCAAUCAAAGGAAAAGAGAAAGUCUUGUCAUCCACCCAAGCAACGCAGCCCUUUGCCGGUUCCUCCUUUGUUUCUCCCAUCUGUUCUUCUCUUUUUUCUCUCUUAAACACACAGCUCCUCCUUCCCCUCAUUGAUUAUCAACUGCAUAUUAUUAAUUAAAUACCCACAUCAGGCUACUGGCUACUUACUAACUACAUAUGUGGUGCAAUCUUUGCUGAAACUUCCAUGUAUGUUUAUCUCUCAUAUCUCCCUUUGUAUGCUUCUCAUCUAAGUUUCCAUUUUUGCUGAUUUCUGUAUAUGGAAAUAUUCCUAGGUUUCGGAGCUACCUAGGGUUUAUUAUACCGCCUCAAUCGCCUAUCAUCAUCAUCAUCAUCUUCUAUUUUAGGGUUUGCAGUAUUUAAAUCAAAUCUGGUCCCUUGAUAGAGGAGGAGUACAACAACAACAACAGCAACAACAACAACAACAACAACAAGAGAGGUNNNN
rnacentral:lncRNA from 1 species